rnacentral:rRNA from 1 species
CUGCUCUCAGAAGUUAAGCAGGGUCGGGCCUGGUUAGUAUCUUGGAUGGGAGACCACCUGGGAAUCCCGGGU